CACUCAUAUUUUAUCUCGUUCGAUCAACUUCAAUUGUCUGAUCUUCAUCCAAUGGUUAAAAAUACGCUGAAGGCGCAUGAAUGAGAGUGCAAAGUGGAGAAGCUAGGCAUGAGUUGGAGUUGUGUUUGGUGGUGUUGGUGCUGAGGCCACACGCUUACCUCUCUCUGAACGGCUAUUCUCAGCAAACUUGAGACUAUUCUGGUGCAACCCUUUUUGCUUCUCUUCCUCGUUCCACUCAGCGGUGUAAUAGUAUUCCUCAGUGGACUUGUUGACAUCCUUUGAAGGAGGGAGGAACAUGCUACCCCACUGAGGGAAGUGAACAAGAGUCACAGGAAGAGUGCAACACACAAUCAUGACACCCAUAAGGGAGAGACCAGUGGAAGUAGAAAACCUUGAGGUUGAAAAGAAGAUCAAUUGGGUCAAACCAGAACCAAAGUUUCCACCUGCACCAGUUAGGCCUGAUAUGAUCCCAAGAGAACGCCUUGAGAUGAAGGGAAUGAUGCCAAAAGUUGCACCGCAUGCAGCUUGAGCACCAAUGGAGAAGAGGAUCAUGGCCAAGACUGCAAUGGGAAGGGAAUUGGCACGCCCAAGCCAUAUGCAGAAAACGCCUCCUAGGGUUUGGAGGAUCCACAGGUUCCAAAGCCUGCCCCUCAUGCCAAACAACCUGGCUGCAACAUCAGAAGUGUAUCCACC
rnacentral:lncRNA from 1 species